rfam:Punica granatum cultivar Dabenzi scaffold239, whole genome shotgun sequence.
GUUCCCUAUGAUGCUUAAUAUCAGACCAUGCUAGUGCUGAUCAAUUCUAGGAUUGAUUCUUUUCUCUAUUAAUUUAUGAAGGAACU